GGGGGGUGAAGGAGGGAGGAAAUGUCACGCUCGGCGGGAGCGAGGGGACGGAGGGACAGCGAGCAACGCCGGCUGUCAAGCAGAGCAGUUGCCAAGUGAUCUUCUCCACAGCACCCACGAACUUUGGCCUUACACUGAAGAGGACUCAUCAAAUGGUGAGAACCCUGGGAGAUACAACAUAAAAUUGGAAGAGAAGCAUGGAUCUACAUGAAGGGCAGUCCGCUGCAUUCUUGUGUGUGGAGGAACGGGUCCUGCGCUCACUGUUGUUACUCCCACAUAGGCGGACUCUGUAACUGAUUAUAUGUGGGUAGGGCCCUAUUGAAAUUAAGGAGAUCCUACAGUAGUGCGGGGUUCUGUUUGUGUGACCCUACUGUGCCUUCUUACUGUGAAUUCUGUCAGUGUAUCAUGGGUUGUGCUGGAACCUGCCUUUUGGGAUAAUUACCAAAUAAUAUAUUCCUCAAAACUUCUUAAUGGCACUGAGGCUUUGUGGAUAGUUGGUCACAUGAUGAGAAAAUUCAGCUGCCCAUCAAGACUACUUCUACCUGAUACCUUUCGUUCAGUAUCAAGAAGUUGACUCUGAUUUUGAUCAACAUAAGAUGCCAGCUUCCAUCAUUCAGUUGUUAAAUUUUCACACUGGAUACUUUCUCCUCAGCUGCCUCUCGUGUACUGGUUGACUCCUUCAUAAACAGAACUGUUUGCUGUCUUCCUUUAAUAUCUUCUUAAAAGUUUUAUGUACGAUGAAGCUUAUGAUAAUCCAACUAGAAAAUAAGUAUGUUGUCCAUGUAUACUAAUACCAGUGCUUGUCACAGUAAUACUUUGUCAUUGCCUUUGUGCUCUGCAGUAAUCUCUGUUGUCUCUUUACAUAGAAUUCAAGCAUGUAGACUUUUUGUUGUAUGCUUAUUCAUGGCCCAGCGUAAUGAGAAGUGGUCCAGGGUAUAGCCUUCUAGGAUUUGCGGUAAUGCAAAUAAAUAAUAACGAAUAUUCAUUGGGUACUGCAGCAUAGCUGUUGGAUUCUGCUGAGCCUUGAGUCACAUGCUGAUGCAGAAAUAAGGUGUUCCAAAUAGAGGCCUCACAAAAGGGAGAGAAGUGAGUUUCAGCCAACAUAGAAAAUACUGGCAUCUCAGAGGUCUUCUCAGCUGUCAAACCCAAGUCAGUUGCUACUGGCAUUGUGUCCAGAAAGCAUCUCUUUAUCUUCUCCACAGCAGUAACAGUAGACUCUUCCUUCUCAGAGGAAGUUAAUGUGAGUAUUACAAAAUUCUCCAGUGUAUAUGAGAGAUUGAAGGACUUUAUAUACUUCCAUAGUGUCCUUCUGCUCCUUAGUGCAUUCCCUUCCUGACACAGCAUCUAUUGGCACAGAAAUCUUGAAUAACCACAGGCCAUUCUGUUGGUCAGUCCUUGUCAAAUGACUCUUGGUUCUCUGCUGAGAAGGAACCUGCACUAGUUUUGAUUCAGUAUCUAGGUACAUUGCUACCUCAUAUUGCUCUGUUUCCCUGAUACCUUGAAGAUAAUGAUUCUUCAGAAGAGUGGUAAGCAUGAAUCGCAACAGCAAUUCCUCAGGUAUGUCACUCUCUUUCUGGAAGUGGGUCUGCAUGUAUCCCUUUUCCUUCUUUUAAAGUGACACCAAAAUAUCAGUGUACAAAUGAUAACAGAGAUGAUGAAAUGUUAGUGCCUUGCUGAUAGAGAGAUGAUAGAUUGGUCUAUUGGUCUUUAUAAUGCUACCUAGUCAAAGAAGUUACAUUUAUCAGACUAAACCAUAAAAUAUAAUUGCAAACAGUUCCAGAUCUGAAUAGGAGUUGCCUGGCAAGAGCUCUGAAUGAACUGACAAGGUGGACACAGUGACUGUGAAAUACUGCAGGGGGCUGGGGUGGCCAUACAACCGAGAAGCAUGAUAAUAACAAGAGUUUUCAGUUUUCAAACUAUGGUCUGGAUAAGCUUAACAUUAGGCCAUCAUGCAUAAGCUGUGUUUUUAACUACUAUCCAGAACUAACUUUUGGGCAAACUAUCUAGAGAUUCCAGUAAAACAAGGACAGCUCUUGAUUUAAUUUAGAUUCAUACACAGGACUUGGUUGACGAAGUAACCGUAGGAAAGACACUAGGUAGUGGCACACCGUAUUAAACUGAAGUUUGUCACAUUUAUAUGAGAGAAAAAGGUAAAAAUAAAUAAACAACCCAGUAUUGUUUAACUGUAGAAAGGAAUUGCAUAUGAAUGAAGAAAUUGUUCGAGUAAAAAUUAUAAGAGGCUGUGAGAGACACAGAGUGUUUGUUUUCUAAUUCUGACCCAACUGAAUAAGAAUUAGUGACAAGUGAGCAGUAAGGGAAGUUACUAGGAAUAAAUUGAUGCUUUUCAAAAAGUGAAAUCCAAACAAGAAACAAGAGCCCAGUUCUGGGAAGUUAAAUAUAGACCUAUUGUAAUGAGGGACAAAAAGAUUUUGAGGAGCAAUAGGCUAAAAUCAUAAAAGCAAAAAGUAAAAGCUAUAAGCAUAAAUUUUUCAGUUAAUUCUGCUAGCAGGACACUGAGUUCAAGAGACAGAAUAUCUAAAGGCAAAGCCAUUGAAGAAAGGAACAUAUGGACAAACCCUUGCAUUGGCAGAGUUUAUUCCAGGGAGAUUAGGAACAGUCCCAUAUAAAAGUUGUUCUUUAUAAGUAUUUCAAUUUUUACAUUGCAAUAAAAGAUUUUUGAACAACUUGAUUAAGGAGGCAUUAGCAGCUUGCCGGGCAGCACAUUGUUCCGUCAGUAGUUCUAGAGAAAUUCAGAAAUGAAACUGCUUAUCUGUGAACUGUGUUGUAUAAUCUAUCAUUUAAAUUGGUGCUGAUGACAGAGGAAUGGAAAGCAGCAAAUGUGACCAUUUUAAAAAGGUCUCCAGGGAUGAUCAUGGACUAAUGUACUAAUAAGUCUGACUUCCAUGGCAGGCAAAAUGCCAGUGAAUGUGAUAAAGAAUAUAAUUAAUAGGAGCACUUGUGGCUAUAAUAGGAAACCAUCACCUUGACUUCUUGUACAAGGUAGUUUUGUCUUAUGGCUUUGUUUAUUAUUUGAUGCAGUAAACAGUUUUGGGUCACCCAAAAAGCUUUUUAGAAGGUCUGUCACCAAAGAAAGUUAAUGCAGUGAAGUGUUGAGAUACAUAAGAUUCCUUGUUGAUUAAUAAACAGUUACAAGAUAAAGAAGACUAUAGCAACUAAUGGGCCACCUCCUCCCAGCAAUUGUACUGGUACCUUUUCUGGUCCUCCUGUUCCUAAAUGGUAUGAAAGAGUGCAGUGAUAAUGCUUAGAGAUAAUAAAAAGCUACUGUGCCUUUGGUGUUAGAGCUGACGUUGCCCUGAAGAGUUGCAGGAGGAUCUCACAGCACGGGCUGUGUUGCUGCAGGAGCCACUGCUGUCCCAGAGGCCAGGUAUGGCUGACCCACUGUUAAACCAGACCUGUCAGCAGAAAGGGUCAUCACCUCAUCAUCUGCCAGCUCUACAGGUUGCAGCCAGACCUGCUGUUCAGGAAGGCAGGGACUUGCAACUGCUCUCUACAGGGACCACAACUUGGAAGUUCUACUUCCCUAUUUUUUAGGGUUUCACAGCCUUAGGUGAGCUUGAAAUACAGAGUUGGAUCCUUGAAUUCCGGCCUGCUACAGGGGUAAAGCUUAAUUGUUAAGCUGAUGGGUGCUGUAUGGCUGCUGUGAAAAGCCUGGGUUCUGGAGCCUUUUCCUAAUGUUCGUGUGGUUUUUUAUCAGCUCCUGUUGAUUUCCUGAAAUCAUUGUGGAUGGACUAGAUGCAAAAUGGUACUUGAAACAAAGGAAUCAUGCUGGUAUACAAAUCGGUUUUGAGCACUGAUGAGAAUUAUAUACAAUAUAGACAUGGGUGAUGAAGAUAUGGCAUAGCUAUUGUGCAGGGGCAGUAAGUGAAUGAGGAUUCUUCAUUUUGUUGGCUGAAGAGUAAUAACAUAGGAAAGAUCUCUAAAACCAUUAAUAUGUGGAAGUAUUUAAUAGGAGACUCUAACUCUCUAUUUCUAAGAAUAGAAAAACAGGGAGCCCUUGGCCACUGUUUUCUGUAUCCUAGGUGACCUCUGAGAUAGCAGAAGAUACCAGUUUAAUCUGCCAUAGUUUUGUGGCACAAAACUGCACAUCUCUGUUUGUCCCAGACCAGCCAUGGCCAAAAUCCAACCUGUGUAGAAUUACAGCUUUUCUGUAAAUAGAAGUUUGUAGGCCUUGUUGUCUGAUGAUAAAUUUUCAAGUAUGAAUCAAAUGUAAAUUGGUCCCUUCUUCCUAAACCUGAAGAUAUAUAUAUGUAUACUCAUAGAUAUUUAAACUAUGCUUCUGUCUAUUCCUUUGUCUGGCAGUAAUAAUGUUAUGGUCAUAUUGGCCUUACUUCUUCUGCUUACAGAUGUAUGGGUAGAGGAUAAUGCCAGUUUGCUGCUGCUUCAGAAAGCCAGAAGCAAAUAGCAGGUCCUAAAAUAAGUCUCAGGGGAAAUCAGAUAGAGGAGCAGAAAUGUUUAACACAGCAACCAGAAGGUCUGGAGGGAGGGAGAGAGAAGAGAACAUCAUUGUAUUUCUGAAAUGGCAGGAAUAGUUUCCAAGCUGUGGUCCACUAACACCUGAUGGGCUAUAAGGCUAUGGUAAGUUGAACUGCUGCUUUUUUAAUUGCUGCCUUUCCUGAGUAUCACUAAUAAUCUUUCCUCCUCUUCCUUUCCAUCUGCACUCAUGAAUAGUGGAUUUAGUGGCCUGAGAAGUGAGGACUGGGUCCCCGUCGCACAAAGAUUAGACUUCCCAUCUUAAUCAAAUGAAAAUAUAUGUACAUCUUUGAAUGCUUAUCUGAUUUUCUAUCAAUAUUAACAGAUGCAAACUUUUCUUAUGAAUAUUAGUAUCUCUUAUUACAGAUAAGUUUAUUACUCUAAAAAAUUCCACUUCUAUUUAACCACGCUCUUUAAUUUAUAUAAGCUCCCUGGGUGGUAAUUUUACAUGGCAAAAACCUUUCUCUUCCUCCCAUCAAGCCUCUUAUUAUUAAUAAUAAUAUUAUCCAUAUUGACAAUUUUCCAGAAUCAUAAUGCAUUUAUGUUAGCUAUGCUUUCAGUUGCCCCAAUGUAAGUUACUUUGUGUUGUCACAAAUACCAUACAAGCACAUCCAUAAAUAAUUUGCAGAGAUUACAUCUUUUCCAACAUAUUGCACAUCUUUUUAGUAAUCACAGUGGUGUUGAAGUGGAGACAUGCCAAAUUAGAAACCUUAUUCAAAUGGCAUAAAUGUGUUUAUCCUAAAGAAGUCUAUUGUCUAAUCUAAAGUUAGAUUGUAGCAUAUGUAUUAUAUGAAAUGUAAGCAAAAUACUACUGGAAACAAAAGUUACAGUAACAGUAUUCUAAGGGCAUUCAAGUAGUUUGUCAGGCGAGCAUGCUCUGUGUAACCCUUUCUUGUCGCAUCUUUCUUGUUCUUUUGAUACAUACAUAGGAAAUGAGUUUUGUGAAUCCUUUUAUAUUAUUGUCGUUAAUAUUAUAUUAUUAUUACUGAAUGUCUCUUGCUGACUGAUACGAUUCUGCAGUUAUUUUCAGUGUUCUAAUAUGUAUAGCUCAUAUGGUUGGUUUGUCUUAUUCACACGCACAGGGCUAAGCUGGGUACGAGGUCAGGAGAAAAUCUUUGCCUUGUAUCAGAAACAUACAAGGGAGGAAAGUGCUUUUCUACCCUUGUAACAUGGAAAAAUGUUAUUUACCAGUGUCAUCUAGGGGUGACAGGAGACAGGGAUACAUAUGCCUACAAGUAAGGCAUAUGGGUAGAGAAGCAGUGAUGGGGUAUACGGGUAGGACUGAAGAUCAGUGUGUGGGAGUAAAGAUUUAGGGGCAAAGGUCAGAACAGGAUUCUUGUAGGACCUGGAGAGGUCACAGCUGGAUAAAGGCACUGGGGUCAGCUGGAAGUAAGUACCCCAGACGUGGCUACAGCUCUGCCACAUGCUCAUUGCACACUAUCCCUGUCUGUUCUCUCCCCUGCAUCUUCUGCAAUCCCAGCUUCUUGUCUGAUUGUGAACUGGAAACCUUACUUUCCUGCUUACUCCAAAAACAAGGACACACAAGUACAAAAGGCCCCUCAAACCCCUCCCUUUGGAAGCCUCUUACUGCUCUUUCUUCUGCCUUCUGCCUACGGGAUUCUGCAGUGUAGGUACAGCCAGGUGAGAAGUGGGUGCUGGGAGCAAAAUAAUGCCUCUGCUUCACCAGAUAGUUUGCAUCCUCUCCAAGUGGGAUGUAUCCCAUCAUUUGAAAUCUGCUCAUGAAAGAAGAGUUCUUUCAUUCUUUUCCCCCUGUUCAUUACAGUGUGACAAUUUUUUUUCUUCUGCAUGGUGAAACAGAGUUUUUUGAUGUUUGUCUUACCAAAAAAGCAGAACAGUUCAAGAUUUCUAGAGCCUUAUCUCUUGUAAUUCACAAUUCUUUGUGAUCUAGGACCUUCUUAAGUAAAAAAUAAUAAAUCUAGUGGACGAUUGCACCUAUUGCUGACACGCCGAGGCCUUCUGACAGUAUAUUUUAAUUACUGCUUUGCAGCCCCCUUAAAAAUUGUUCAUGAAACCUCAAGAGCCUGCGGAGAGAUUGAGAGCCACUUUCUAAGGGGUUAUCUUUAAAUGCAGGUUACUGUGUUGGUGGUUUUUUUAGAUUCAGGUGUUGGGUUUUUUGUUUUUUGUUUUUUUUGUUUUUUCUCUUAUCCCAUCUGUGAAACGCCAAGUGUUGAUAACCAUCUGUGAAACACCUUUUGAUGUAAUGGCUGUGACACUGCUUUAGAAAUCUUGUGAAAUAGAUUGCGUGGUUAGAAGAGCUGGCAUCUGAAAAUGUAUGUCAUGGGCACAGGUAACUGUUAUAGGGGAAAAAUAACUUGAUUUGUGUACAAAACGCUGGUCUUUUUAGCUUUCUGAAGUCUCUAAGCAUCUUCCUGUAUGCUCGUUGUAAAGUAUUUAAAGAUACAAGUCAUUGCAUUUCUGAAGUAUUCAGUGCAUCGUUUAAAAUGACUACCAAAGGAGAGAGGUGGAUUAGCUUCACAUAACAGCUAAGCAUAAAAGUAAUGAUUCAGAAAUAAUCAUGUGGUUCCAGAUCAGUACAAAUCAUUUUGUUUUUCUGUAUGAGCAGAGCUCUGCACAGAACCGUGAUCUCAUUCUACCUUAUCAGAUUACAGUCACCUACAUAGGUUUUCAGAACUAAACUUUAUUCUGGUGAUUUUGUAACUGUAUGCAGAAAAAGUGGGAAAUUAAACACUUAAAAUUUAAGUAAUCGCUCUUUAUCUGUGCUAAAAGAUUGCAUACACAAGCUUAGUAUUUCCUCCUGGGACUGGAUCUAUAGUCCUUCAAGUUCUGCAGUUAGAGGGAAUGUGAAGGUGAAUAAGGAGAAGCAAAUGUGAAAGGAAAAAAAGCAGAUGGAGAGGAGGAAAUUUCCCUUCCUUUACAGAAGGAAGGGCAAGAUGAAAGACAGUGUAAUGAGCACAGGAGUAACAGGGUGAAAAGGGAGGAAUAAUGUGUAGUGUUCAGUUAUGUUAUGCUUUGUAUUUGUAUGGAAGACAGAUUGAGACCUCAGCUUUCUGACUAUCUGCUGUGCCGAGCCACACUAUAAACCAUGUGCAUUUUUGCCUUAGUGUGGUUGCUUCCAAAGGCAGCUUGAAACUAUCUUUCUGAGGCAACCUAAAUCACAGAGUGCAUCAUUCUGCUAGAAAAUAAUGUCUUCCCCAAUGUUCUGUCUUCCCCAAUGUUCUGUUUUCCUAAUCUCGCCAUCUAAAAACACUGCUGGAAACACAGAUAAUAAAAAAGCCAGCUAUAUGUACAUUUGCUGUUGUUAAUUCCACUCACUGGCAUUUGGGGCAGGGGAUGGGUAUGCAAAAAGGCUGAAAUACAUAACAGCGGCAAAAAUUCUGUGCAAAACUUUGUUGUAAUAAUGAUGGAAGUGAAAAUUGGCCUCGUUUUUCAAGUUGGUUUUUUUUUGUGUCAAGCUCUUGUUCACACCGUGUUUGAGGCUCUACAUUCUAGAUGGAUCACUAAUAGCCAAUACUUUAUAUACUGUCCUCAAAGAGCAAUAUGAAAUACAAGUGACUGUCUAAAUCAAGAAGAGGUUUAGCCAUCUCUACAUCAGUUUGUCAAAACUUAAAUGGAAAGUGAGACCAAAUGCAAAACAAUAUUAAAUUAUAUUAUCAAAAUGUGAGUACACAAGCUAACUGCUAGUUUUUCAUCAUUUAACUGGACUAGGCAAAGUCACUUUGUAAGCAAAUGUAGGUAUAGAUCAACAGAAUACUCACAUGAGCCUUCAUUACAGGUGAGCCUUCAUCAGCACAUGGAUUUCAUCCAUAAUCUGUAAUAAAAUAGCAUCAAUUAGGAAGAUGGCAAAGAAGUUUUAAUUGAUUAGUUUCUUCUUUUAUGUCUGCAUGUUUCUAAAGAGUAUAUAAGGCCUUAUAGCAAAUAGGGAAAGUAUGGGGUUUUUUUAAUUGCACAAUUAAUAUUUAUAUAGCGACUAGUUCUAAUCUUCUUGAGUUGUAAUGCUUAUUUUUAAAUACACCUCCCAUUUUCUUACAUUCACUUGGUGCUAUGCAUAAAAACACCUUAGCUGUCCACCUGAGCAUGACUUCAGUGUCACUGAGCCCUAAGCUGAUGCACAGCAGAGUGCAUCCCUGCAAAACCAGGGACAGAAAUGGGUGUUGCAGGGACAGCACUUGUGGUGCCAAUUCACAGUUAAUUUUUGGGUAGUAAAAUCUACUUCUUGGAAGGUAGAACAGCUCAGUAUUAAUUUCUACUAAUAAAAAGAUACAGGCCUUCAUAAGGAUUACACUACAAGUUGCUGCGCUGCAGGAUUUGUUUUCACAUGUAGUGUCUGUGCCAUUGCACAGGAGAAUCUGGACAGCGGUCAGUAAGGACAUCCAGUAACGGUAAGAAGACUGAAAAGCUGAUGUAACUGCUCUGUUAAGUCGAAAAGGAAAUUGAAAUUAAUAGCAGACACAACUUUGAGAAGUUGUAGAUAACAGAUUUCAUACUGUAUGUUAUAUUUAACCGCUACCAUUGUGUUGUUUUUCAUUAGCGUUGUACUAUUUUCCAUCAAAAGUCUGCAGUUCUUUAGAUAAUGCAAACCCUUCAGUGCAGAAUCAUACUUCAAGCGGGGUAAUAUUUAGGUUUUAAAGAUAUAUUCUUAAUUGCACUGACAGCUCUGUGUAUUCCUUAUAUAAUAAGCAGGAUUGGGGUGAGUGUAUCCUGAAAUAGCCAUUAAAAGCAUAGUAUGUGCAGGACCAUUACAUGCGUGGAUCUCCAAGAAUUGCAUAGUCCCAGGAUUAUAUCUCAGACUUGCUAUGCAAAAAAGUGCACACUGUGAACACUGGGGUGUAUUGCAGAUUCACCAGAGCUCCCUUUCCCAUCCUCUUUUCUUACAUUUUAAGCUUUGGCACUGCAGUUCUCUAAGAGCAGUGUCUUCCUUUUGCAUCAGGGCUGGGAAUCUGGUGAAGAUUGUCCCUUCAGACUUGCUCCUGGAGCUUCUGCACACUGAUAGGACUAUGUGUCACCCUUGACUUUUGUCUUUAAUUAUGACUCAUUUAAACUAACCAUUAAAAUCUAAGUAUCAAUGUGCUAUGGGGUAUGGUUUAGUAGUUUAGUGGUAGUAAUGGUGACAGGAGGACGGUUGGCCUAGAUGAUCUUCUAGGUCCUUUCCAACCUCGUGAUUCUAUGAUCCUAUUUGUGAUUAAUCACUGAAUUUAGUGGCAAAUUAUUGAAAUAUCAGCAGUGCCAUUUUAAAUAUCAUAUACUUGUGCUAUUUCCUGAAUCACAUUCUUAAUGUUGUGAACAGAGAAUCCCAGUCAUGCCAAGCUUUGACUUCAGGAGUUAAGCUUAAGGCCCUAGUAGUACAUAGAUAUGCCUAACAGAAGAGCAAACUUUCUUUGACUGGAUCAGAUUUAUUUUUUGGUGCUCAACAUAUUAAUGUUUGUUAAUAAUAAUUAAACAACGGCAGCAACAAAAACCCAUGCUACAAACCAUACUGCAUGUUCUAUGCAGAUAAAAGCUGUUAGUAAAUUUUUCUUGUUCAGAAUAAAGAAAGUUGAAAACGUGCUCUCUUUCAUAUUGCUUUAAUCCUGGUGUCAUUGUCUGUAAGUAUUCAGCGCAUCUAUGCUUGCAGAAACCUAAAGAACUUCAUGAAAUUAAUAACAUUCCAAAGACGUGGUUCAGAGUAUGAGAUCUAAGCCUUAGGAUGGGAUGAAUCGCCCUCUGGAGGUGCCCGUUUCAGUCUACUGGCUUCACAGGAAUCCUGCCUUGAACUGCUUAGCUUAAACUAAAAGUUAAGUGAGUGGAUUGUCACCAGAGGAGAGGAAUAACUAAGCUAUACUGGGUCUUUUCUGUAGACCUUUCUAUUUGUUAGGAAUAGCUACCUUAUUCCUCACCUCUAUUUGCCACUGUUGUUCUUGUACCAUUUAUAAAAUGAAUAAGUACAAUUGUUGCUGUCACUAUUUCCUGUGUAUUUCCUGUUUCUUUGUUUUCUUUUCCUGUCCUUUUUUAUCUUAUUAUCUUAUCUUUCUCUAUCUUUUUUAUCUUUCCCUGACUUGUUCUAGCUACCAUCUCUUCUGAAACUUCUCAUUCGCUCCCUCUCUGACCAUCCCGCCUCCCGUCCUGAGAGCACUGUCCUAACUUGUGAUCUGGAUGACUGCUGGCCAUUUCCUCUGAUGCUGAUAUCAGUAUUUUCUGUGAGAGACAGUACUGUAGUGAAGAGACAGAACAAGAAGAAGAUGGCACUGCCGUGAUUUUAUUUUUGUACGGUUUGGAAUCAUCUAGAAGUAUUGCUGUGACUACAAAUUAAGUGCACUGGUUUCCUAACAAACUUGUCAUUUAAAGAUGUUUGUAGAAAUGUAAAAUCAAAUGUGAACUGCAUUAAAGUCAUUUAAAUUUAACAAAA